rnacentral:rRNA from 1 species
GACGAACGCUGGCGGCGUGCUUAACACAUGCAAGUCGAACGAAGUGGCGAACGGGUGAGUAAUACGGGAGUAAACUGCCCUCCUUUUUGGGAUAAGGCUUGGAAACGGGGUCUAAUACCGGAUCAAGGGGGCUGGGCUCGCGGCCUAUUAGCUUGUUGGUGGGUUGAUGGGCUACAAAGGCGGUGACGGGUCGACGGCCUGGGUGGGUGACCUGGGGAAUUGGAACGGACAUACGGCCCAGACUCCUACGGGAGGCAGCAGUGUGGGCUAUUGCACAAUGGUCUAACGCAGGAUGCAGCGACGCCGCGUGGGGGAUGACGGCUUGCGGGUUGUAAACCUCUUUCGCUAUCGAACGGGUAGGUGGAGAAGAAACGCCGGCUAACUACGGUCCAGCCGCCGCGGUAAUAA